GUAGCGGACACCGCAAGGUCGCUGUCGUGUUCGACAGUCCGUCUUCUGCGGCUCGCACUGCGGGCCGCAACCGGCACAGCCGGAUUUGCCCAACCCGCCGAUGAAGGGUCAUCGGC
rfam:Pseudomonas stutzeri A1501, complete genome.